rnacentral:rRNA from 1 species
UACGGAGGGUGAAAGCGUUAUCCGGAAUCACUGGGUUUAAAGGGUGCGUAGGCGGCUUAAUAAGUCAGAGGUGAAAGGCUGUGGCUCAACCAUGGGAUUGCCUUUGAUACUGUUAGGCUUGAAUCAGGCUGAGGUUGGCAGAAUGUGGCAUGUAGCGGUUAAAUGCAUAGAUAUGCCAUAGAAUACCGAUUGCGAAGGUAGCUGCCUGGCCCUUGAUUGACGCUGAGGCACGAAAGCGUGGGGAGCGAACAGG